rnacentral:rRNA from 2 species
UUGAAUUGAAGAGUUUGAUCAUGGCUCAGAUUGAACGCUGGCGGCAGGCUUAACACAUGCAA